rnacentral:rRNA from 1 species
CCUACGGGUGGCAGCAGUGGGGAAUUUUGGACAAUGGGCGAAAGCCUGAUCCAGCCAUGCCGCGUGCAGGAUGAAGGCCUUCGGGUUGUAAACUGCUUUUGUACGGAACGAAAAGGUCUUUUCUAAUAAAGAAGGCUCAUGACGGUACCGUAAGAAUAAGCACCGGCUAACUACGUGCCAGCAGCCGCGGUAAUACGUAGGGUGCAAGCGUUAAUCGGAAUUACUGGGCGUAAAGCGUGCGCAGGCGGUUAUAUAAGACAGAUGUGAAAUCCCCGGGCUCAACCUGGGAACUGCAUUAGUGACUGUAUAGCUAGAGUGCGGCAGAGGGGGAUGGAAUUCCGCGUGUAGCAGUGAAAUGCGUAGAUAUGCGGAGGAACACCGAUGGCGAAGGCAAUCCCCUGGGCCUGCACUGACGCUCAUGCACGAAAGCGUGGGGAGCAAACAGGCUUAGAUACCCGUGUAGUC